rnacentral:lncRNA from 1 species
GUUAUGAUCCAGACGGACCCGGAGAGAAGGGCCGCCCUGGCCUGGAUCACACUGUGCCGAGCCUGGCAUCCCCGGGCACCCAGAGCUCACCCCUAGACGCAGUGCAGGAGACCCAGGUUUGAUCCCUGGGUUGGGAAGAUCCCCUGGAGAAGGAAAUGGCAGCCCACUCCAGUAUUCUUGCCUGGAGAAUCCCAUGGAUGGAGGAGCCUGGUGGGUUACAGUCCACGGGGUCGCAAAGAGUCGGAUACAACUGAGAGACUUCACUUUCACUUUCUUUCACAGGCGGUGUGAGCGGAGGCUUCCCCACAGGAGCCCCAGCGCCAGCCCUGCGUGGCAGGCAGGACAGCCCCCCGCUGGACGCCCACCUCCUACUCUCCCAAACCUGAGACUCGGGUCACGCUGCAACAGGAGCUACGGCGGAAGGUGGACCCAGUGGCUGAGAUGGGAAACGACCCUGGAUUAUCCCGGCGGCUCCAGUGUGAUCGGAAGGAAACCUCACGGUGGAGGGGGGACGGGAGAGCCAGUGUCUGUGACUCAGCGUGAGAGAGGCCAUCGCUGGCUGUGGACGGAUGGAGGGGCCGUGAGCCAAGGAAUGCGGGUGGUCUCCAGAAGGUGGGAAAGGCAGGAAGCGGGUUCUCCCCCCCUGGAGCCUCUGGAAGGACGCAGCGCUGCUGACACGUCAACCACAGCCUCGGGAGACCCCUGUGGACCCCUGACCCCCAGACUGUAGGGUAAUAAAUGUGUGUUGUUUUAAGCCA